GGUUAAGCGACUAAGCGUACACGGUGGAUGCCCUGGCAGUCAGAGGCGAUGAAGGACGUGCUAAUCUGCGAUAAGCGUCGGUAAGGUGAUAUGAACCGUUAUAACCGGCGAUUUCCGAAUGGGGAAACCCAGUGUGAUUCGUCACACUAUCAUUAACUGAAUCCAUAGGUUAAUGAGGCGAACCGGGGGAACUGAAACAUCUAAGUACCCCGAGGAAAAGAAAUCAACCGAGAUUCCCCCAGUAGCGGCGAGCGAACGGGGAGCAGCCCAGAGCCUGAAUCAGUGUGUGUGUUAGUGGAAGCGUCUGGAAAGGCGCGCGAUACAGGGUGACAGCCCCGUACACAAAAAUGCACAUGCUGUGAGCUCGAUGAGUAGGGCGGGACACGUGGUAUCCUGUCUGAAUAUGGGGGGACCAUCCUCCAAGGCUAAAUACUCCUGACUGACCGAUAGUGAACCAGUACCGUGAGGGAAAGGCGAAAAGAACCCCGGCGAGGGGAGUGAAAAAGAACCUGAAACCGUGUACGUACAAGCAGUGGGAGCACGCUUAGGCGUGUGACUGCGUACCUUUUGUAUAAUGGGUCAGCGACUUAUAUUCUGUAGCAAGGUUAACCGAAUAGGGGAGCCGAAGGGAAACCGAGUCUUAACUGGGCGUUAAGUUGCAGGGUAUAGACCCGAAACCCGGUGAUCUAGCCAUGGGCAGGUUGAAGGUUGGGUAACACUAACUGGAGGACCGAACCGACUAAUGUUGAAAAAUUAGCGGAUGACUUGUGGCUGGGGGUGAAAGGCCAAUCAAACCGGGAGAUAGCUGGUUCUCCCCGAAAGCUAUUUAGGUAGCGCCUCGUGAAUUCAUCUCCGGGGGUAGAGCACUGUUUCGGCAAGGGGGUCAUCCCGACUUACCAACCCGAUGCAAACUGCGAAUACCGGAGAAUGUUAUCACGGGAGACACACGGCGGGUGCUAACGUCCGUCGUGAAGAGGGAAACAACCCAGACCGCCAGCUAAGGUCCCAAAGUCAUGGUUAAGUGGGAAACGAUGUGGGAAGGCCCAGACAGCCAGGAUGUUGGCUUAGAAGCAGCCAUCAUU
rnacentral:rRNA from 1 species